rnacentral:lncRNA from 1 species
GUCAGGAACGGCUUUGUCUGACGUUCCCUCGGGGGGAAAUAUAUUGUGACGAUGCCUGGAAAUAUGAUGCCCAUAUUUGCCUCUUAUCUACAUUUCUGAGGCCCAAAGAGCCGAAACCGCUCCAACGCCUUGCUAUCGGGCUUUAAUAGCCAGAGAGAUAAGUAUGGUUUGUGGCUAAGCAUGGUGGGGAGAGACUGUGAAACAAACACAGGCAAGCUGCUGUACACCUCUUCAGAAAUCUCCCAGACUGUUAUCUUGUCUCCACCACGUGGGAUUGCUGAGUUAACAUGAGGGGGGAAACGGAGGUACAUCUUCUUAUCGGCACAUGCACUAGGGCUGCGAUGAAAGGAGUCAAAUCCCUCCACUCAACACUGCAGAGAUACUGUAGAGGGGAAAGAUAAACUCCAGGUGGUGUGAUGAAGAUUGGGCUUCUCUGGCAUGCCGUUGUCACGAUGAUAUGAACACUACCCUGAGCUUUACAGACGCUCCCCACCCCUUGGCUGCAACCCUCCUAAUUUAGUGUACUCUGCGCACACACCCCAUAUGGAAUUCCUGGUCCUUCUCCCUCCUGUCUCCUGAUUCUGUCUCCUCGACCCUACACUCCUCCAUUUGCGCAUCCGAUGACUCACACUGUCCCCUUUCCUCCCGCCUGGCUCGGCCCUCCUGCUCAUGGUUGAGUGACUUGCGAGCUUACAGAACAGGGAUGUGCGCAGCUAAGUAAAAAUGGAGGAAAACAAAACUUCCGGAGGACCUAUCGUGCUUUCACCCUCCUCUACCUUCCUCUGUAUCCACUGCUAAAGUCACUUUCUAUGGCUCUUAAUUUCAAGCUUCUGCCUCUAACCCUAGGAAACUCUUUUCCACCUUCUCCUCCCUCCUUAAUCCUCUACCACCUGCCUCUCUGCGGACAACUUUGUCAACCACUUUGAAAAGAAGUUUGACAACAUCCGCUCCUCAUUCAUUCAGCCUAUUGAGUCCACUGGUCCCACACAGAACUAC